GUCCCGUUCCCGGUGUCAGUCCCAUUCCCGGUUCCAGUCCCAUUCCCGGUGUCCCGUUCCCGGUGUCCCGUUCCCGGUGUUCUGGUUCCCGGUUCCAGUCCCAUUCCCGGUGUCCCGUUCCCGGUGUCCCGUUCCCGGUGUUCCGGUUCCCGGUUCCAGUCCCAUUCCCAGUGUCCCCGCUCCCGGUGUCCCGUUCCCGGUGUCCCGUUCCCGGUGUCAGUCCCAUUCCCGGUUCCAGUCCCAUUCCCGGUGUCCCAUUCCCGGUGUCCCGUUCCCGGUGUUCCGGUUCCCGGUUCCAGUCCCAUUCCCGGUGUCCCCGCUCCCGGUGUCCCCUUCCCGCUUCCCCAUCCCCGUUUGUCCCCGCUCCCGGUGCCGGUUGUCCCCGGUGUCCCCCGUUCCCGGUGUCCCGGUGCCACCCCUGUUCCUGUCCCCGCUGCCACGUGCCCAGUCCCGGUUCCAGUCCCAUUCCCGGUGUCCCCGGUCCCGGUGUCCCAUUCCCGGUGCCAUCCCCGUGCCCCUUAUCCCCGCUCCCAGUCCCGGUGUCCCCGUCCCGGUGUCCCAUCCCCGUUUGUUCCCGUUCCCGGUGCCAAUUCCCGUUCCCGGUGUCCCAUCCCCGUUUGUUCCCGAUCCCGGUGCCAGUCCCAUUCCCGGUGUCCCUGUCCCGGUGUCCCCGCUCCCCGUCCGUCCCCGCUGCCGGUGCCAGUCCCAUUCUCGGUGUCCCCCUUUCCCGGUGUCCCGGUGCCACCCCUGUCCCUGUCCCCUCUGCCACGUGCCCAGUCCCGGUGCCAGUCCCAUUCCCGGUGCUCCAUCCCCGUUUGUUCCCGCUCCCGUUCCCGGUGUCCCCGCUCCCCGUUCGUCCCCGUCCUGGUGUCCCAUCCCCGUUUGUUCCCGUUCCCGGUGCAAAUUCCCAUCCCCGGUGUCCCUCGUUCCUGGUGUCCCAUCCCCGGUGUCCCCCAUCCCCGGUGUCCCCGUCCCCUUUUGUUCCCGCUCCCAGUCCCGGUGUCCCCAUCCCCGUUUGUUCCCGUUCCUGGUGCCAAUUCCCAUUCCCGGUGUCCCCGCUCCCCGUCCGUCCCCGCUGCCGGUGUCCCCCAUUCCCGGUGUCCCAUCCCCGGUGUCCCCGUCCCGGUGUCCCCGUCCCCGUUUGUUCCCGCUCCCAUUCCCGGUGUCCCCCAUUCCCGGUGUCCCCGCUCCCCGUCUGUCCCCAUUCCCGGUGUCCCCUUUCCCGGUGUCCCAUUCCCGGUGUCCCCCUUUCCCGGUGCCACCCCCGCCCCGCCCCGCCCCGCCCCGCCCCGCCCCGCCCCGCCCCGCCGCCCGUUGCCCUUUGCCCGGUGCCCGUUGCCGCUCGCCCCGUGCCCGUUGUCCUCGCCCGUUGUCCCUGGCCCGGUGCCCGUUGCCCUUCGCCCCGUGCCCGUUGCUCCCGGCCCGCUGCCGGUGGCCGCUUCCCUCGGCCACCCCCGCCGCUCGCACCGGGCCGGCUCCGUCCCUUCCCGGGGAGCGGCUCCGUC
rnacentral:lncRNA from 1 species